CUGAGGGGCUGGUAACCAGAAGAGGGGCCGGUUCCCGGCGGCGCAGGACUCGGGCUCCAGCUCCGAACUUCGGUCCCAGCCCUGGCAGAGUCCGCGAGGCCCAGCCCAGGAAAAGGAGCUCUCGGGCCGCUGUGCCUGCGCGAGUUCCCAGGAGACGUCGGGGCGGUAGCUUCAUCUCGUCCCCUUCCUGGUCUCCCAGAGCUGGUCACCGAGGACCACAUCCCCGGCUCCAGGAUCUGGCCACCCCGGGACGGCCUUAUCCCCGGAAGCCGGUCAGGCAGCCCUGUCCCCGUCCGCGAUCGGAGCCGGUCACCUCAACGAGGCCGCGUUCGGACCUACGGAUCUGGUUACCAUGAAAGGAGCCUCAUCCCGGAAGUCAGUCACCCUAAGGAAGCCCCAUCUUCUUCCCGGGUCCCGUUAUUCCGAAGAGGCCCUGUUUCGUCCCCAAGGACCGGUCACCCAGAGGAGGCCCUUUCCUGUCCCUGUGCCUGGUCACCCCCGAGAAGGCCUUAUUCUCGAGAGCCGGCCACCUGAGGAGUCCCAAGUUCCAUCCCCAGGAGCUGGUCACCCUGAGAAGGCCUCAACCCAAUCUUGGGAUCUCGUCACCUCGAGGAGGCAGCGUACGUUUUGAGAGCCAAUCAUCUGAGAAGGCCUAAUGCCUGGGGUCUGAUCACCCCAAAGAGAUCCCGUCCUGGUCCCACAGGGCCAGUCAUCCCAAGGUGGGACCAGUGCCCCGGCCGAGGCGGCUGCAGAGGGAAAGGUGGUCAGAAACUGAAAGUCGGGAUGUAUCUAGGGGGAGGAGUGAGCAGAAGUCCCAAACGGAGAAAGGAAUCAGUUUCUGCGCUGUGUGCCCAAGUGUAGUUACCGGGUUUUGGAAGUGAUCACCGGCUCUCUCAACUUAAUUGCAUCGAAACCUCUGUAGAGGAGCAGGCCCAGACAGCAGGUACAGAGCAGAUGGAGCCUGCACCCAUGAGGUUCCAAGAAGCCUCCAUACUCUAUUGUCCCUAAAAAGGCAAGUUGAGUUUUUUCAUUUCUUAUAACUUCACCUCAAGUAUAGGCCAGUAUGAUACAUACAUCAGUAAAAUGCUCUUAGUAUCUUGAUAAAUGUGUUUAAUUUAAAAAAAAACAGAUUUUGGAAGUUAAGCCACUCAUAUACAAAGUUAGUGAUGAAGCCAGGAUCAUAUGUUAUUUAGAAAUACAGUUAGUCAUUUAAAGCCACAUUAAAUACUGACAUCCAAAAUAUUCAAAUGUCCUUCUAUAAUCUACUGUAGGCUCACGGGUUUAGGAGUAGUAGUUCUAAUCAGUCGUUGUAAUUGAAUGUAUAGCACUGUGUUCCAUAUUUACUCAUCUAUGUACUGUUUUUGUUUUCUUUUAAAUAUGCUUGCUUUUAAAUACUUUGGUGCCAGUGUCUGGGGUUCUGAGAAUUAAUUUAUUUUCACUUUAAGGCAGUAUAAAGGACUAAGGUUAUGGAAUCAGAUUACCAAAUCUGUCUGGUCCUACCUCUGGGCCCUUGAGUAAAUUACUUAAGCUUUUAAAACCUUGGUUUCUCUCAUGUGUACAAUGAGGGUGUUAAUAGUACUUACCUUCCAGAUUUUUAUAAGGAUUAAAUGAGAUAAUUUGUAUGCUUGCAAAUUUUCAAUAAAUGUUGACUUUUAUAACUAUUACUUCCACGUCCCAUAAUUGUAUCAACUUUAUCUUUGAGAACAUGUAACAGUUAUCUUACUUUUUGAAACUUUAAAAUUCAUUUUCGUAAGUAUAAAUUCAUUUAGGGUUAUUUCCCCUAUUUAAGUAUAUGUUCCCAUUUUUUAAAAAAAACUCUCUUAUGUUUUGAGUAACAUUAUUAGUGGCUGGCAAAAUGUUUGGCUGACCCAUAUUUUAUAUAAUCUUCAAAUUCAGAAGUUGGUUGAAGCUAAAAUUUUUAAGUGUCAAGGUAAAAACAAACAUCUGUAUUUAAAAUUUAAUAAAAUUAUAAUAUCUUCUUGGAUUCACAAUAUAUAGUAACCAGUGUUUGGGGACUUUCCUAGUUCCAACCACCUG
ensembl:lncRNA